rnacentral:lncRNA from 1 species
AAGAAACUAUGGAUGUAAAAGAAUGUUACUUGUGGUUUUAGAAAUUGCAGUUCAGGAGACAUAGGUCCAUAGAGUUCUGAAUCAUUUUUCCAAAGAAGUCAGGUGUAAGGAACAUCUGCCAUAGACAUGCUGGGACAUGCUGGGACUCGCUAACUUGCUGGACAUAGGAACAGCAGCCAUUGAACUGCUUAGUCAUGUCUGCUUGCAAUUGAUAAAGAACUGUAAGGGAGCACUAGCCAUAGGAAUGCUAAGCAAUGACUGGUUACAAUUGAUAGGGAGCACAGCUCCAUGGACGUGCACAAAGAACAUGCUCAGCUGCAAUUACAUCACCUCACUGGACACCUCAAUGGACAUUGACUUUCACUGGGUGUAACCAAUCACCCACAUACACCACCAACUUGGAACUGUAUUUAAAUUACUGGUCCUGCCACAUUGAAGAGUUUUGUUCCAAGGACAUCAGUGACACUAGCCUCCUUGCUGACCAUCCCUGGACUGACUCCACCAUUCCCUGAGGUCCAGCCGUCAACUGGAGAGAACCACAAGACAAGGACAAUGUCUGCUCUUUGGCUAAGAGAAAUCUCAUGGUGUUGGAGGUAUUUGAGGGCUUGUGGUUGCCCUAGGUUGCAUUAAUUGUUUAUAUUUAAUAAUUGGUGUGAUGGAAUAUGCGUGUGCAUUUAAAGACAAUUCACCUCUGAGUAAUUAUUAAUAGUGCCGCUUGUGACAGCAGGGAAGAUGGAAACUUAUACAAGCAAACUGUUAUUACAAGGCAAUAAAAAUUCUUUUUUAGGAAGAAUUCUGUUAGAGUUGAGAACAUGGGCUGUGUGACUGAUAGA